rnacentral:lncRNA from 13 species
CUGGACUACAUAUAUAAUCUUGGGCACCCUGACCUUUUGGAAUUUGUUUCCUCAACUUCUAAACAUAAACAGUGACACUUAUGCAGAGAGUGUUGUUGUGAACAUUAGAUGAAAUGCAACCUGCACUCUCAUGAACUAAGUGUAAAACUGAUAUAAAUGCCCAUGAGUGUCUCUACCCAACUCACAAAUCUUUCAAGAGGAAGUGAAAAAGUAGAGCAAAAUAUUAAUUUAACCCAGAGGGGAUUAUUUUUAUUAAGUGUUGUCUCCAAAUGAUGAGAUUUAAAUGUCAUUCCUAAAGCAGGUGUAGUUAGAGGUCUUGCUGAUGAUAAAAGCAAAACAUACAGUAGAUGCAGUAGACAAUAGAGUACUUCACAAGCAGUGCCCCUACGAUGGAAAAAACUCUACAAUAUAUCUAUUAGGGGAUCCAGAAAGAGUACGUAGGUAAUUUCCUUGUGUCCCAACCCGCGGGACGAGCAACGGAGACCCUAGGGAGGGACUGGGGAUUAGAAGAGAAAGACAGGAGAUGCGCAGAAUGGACAAGUCAAGGAUCUGAUCAAGUCUCGUUUAUUAGCUACAAGGCGGUUGCUUAUAAACAAGUAAAGGCGGGAAGUUCUGAGGGCUGAGGUCAGAGAGUAACCAUGGAGACGGGAAUGUGAAACUUAAACAAUAAGGGAAGCCCACAAGAUGGAGGUUUAGGUAAGAGGAACAAAAGCUUAAGCAACAUAGUUACAAGAUGGCUACUGCUCCCCACAUCCUUGCCCUUUACGAAGUAGUUAGGAGGUAAAGUGGACAUUUUUAUAACAUUUAUGACAAGCAAUAUGGCAAAUUAUAUCACAAGCCUUCAAGAAUGUAUUACCUUUAACCCAAGAAACAUUUGUCAGUCACUGAAAAAAAAAAUCAAGCUUUUAUGCACAGAUUCACCUCAAGAUAGAAUCUCCCUCUGUCGCCCACGCUGGAGUGCACUGGAGCCAUCUUGGCUCACUGCAAUCUCUGCCUCCCAGGUUCAAGUGAUUCUCGUGUGUACAAUACAUACAAUUAAAAGAGAUGGCAUCCAAUAA